UCUGGUGACAAUGGCAAGGAGGUCACACCUGUUCCCAUGCCGAACACAGAAGUUAAGCUCCUUAGCGCCGAUGGUAGUCGGGCUUACGU
rnacentral:rRNA from 2 species